AUUUUUUAUGCUUGACUCUCACGCAUACCAUUCCAUUUGGUAGUCAGACACUUAGCUAUGUAUUUUUUGAUGCGAUACAGAUGAGGAGUGGAAGCAGAGCAGAGAGAAGACCAUAAUAUACAGAAGAGAUCAUCCAGUUCAGUUUAUAUCACGGCUCCCUACGACACCAUUCAGACCAUCUUGGAUUGAUGUCUGUCAGGGAUGGCACUAACACCGCUGCUACUCAUUGCCACAUUGAUGGUAAUAUGCAGUGCUCUAGAAAUAGAGGAAUUAUUUGAUAUCCAGGAUUACACUUUUCAACCAAACAACAUUGGUGGUUUUCCACUGAAGCACAUCAGGCAAAAAAGAGAUGCAUCACCUGAUUCAUGGGUCUACAUCAUUGAUGUGGAGGUCAAUGUGUCAGACCAAACAGUCAUACAAGACAUCAAAUCAGAACUCAAUUCAUUAAGUUUCCCCGUACAACUUGAAAAUGAAAUUAACGUCACGCAGAUCAACAUUACAACAGGUAAGGGCAAUAUCGUGACAAAUGAUCCGCAGUGGACUUAUGAUGUAAUUCACUAAACA
rnacentral:lncRNA from 1 species